GUUAUAGAUGACGAUGAGAUGGUUCACUUUAUUCUCAAUGGCCUUGAUUUUGAUUACAAUCCUUUUGUUUUGUCAAUGCUUGGCCGUGUUGGUUUUCUCUCCUUGAGCAAGUUGUAUUCUCAGCUACUCACAUAUGAUC
rnacentral:snoRNA from 1 species